rnacentral:rRNA from 1 species
GAUGAACGCUGACAGAAUGCUUAACACAUGCAAGUCAACUGUGGCGGACGGGUGAGUAACGCGUAAAGAACUUGCCUCACAGAUAGGGACAACAUUUGGAAACGAAUGCUAAUACCUGAUACUGUGAGAGAGCUUUGCGUCCCAUUAGCUAGUUGGAGAGGUAACGGCUCCCCAAGGCGAUGAUGGGUAGCCGGCCUGAGAGGGUGAUCGGCCACAAGGGGACUGGGACACGGCCCUUACUCCUACGGGAGGCAGCAGUGGGGAAUAUUGGACAAUGGCCCAAAGUUUGAUCCAGCACUUCUGUGUGCACGAUGAAGUUUUCGGAAUGUAAAGUGCUUUCAGUUGGGAAGCGGUAACAAAAGAAGAAGUGACGGCUAAAUACGUGCCAGCAGCCGCGGUAAUAG